CAUUGAUACCAGAUCAGCAAGCUGAGCUCUGGCAUUCUCUGCUUCAACGGAGCAAGAACCGUAUUCGCAUAUUGUUUCUUGAGCUUUUCUCAACACUCUUUGCAAGAACUUGCCUUGAGCUUCCACUCUUUGCUGCAGUUUCCUCUGCACCUCCAUUUGCACUUGCAGAGCCCUCGUCAUCUGCAAAUUUCUGAUCAAUCAAUUCGCGUUAGUAUUUUCCCUUCAACAAAAUAUACAAUAAAAGUAUGUUAAUGUUUUUUUUAUCAACAAUGUGUAGCAUUUAUUACUGUUUAGCAGCGCUGUGGCAGGUGGCCUUGUUGGUGGAGUGACGACUCAUUUUCUCAUCACAUUCUGUGUGGAAAUGAAAAGAAUUAUGAAUGUUUACUAGUAAUUAGAUUAGUUGCAUGGAAAAAUAUGCGUACUA